UUAAUAUGUAAUUGAUCAGAUUCCCCGGUUAUGUCGGGGAUGAAACGGGAAUUGGGUGUGAAUCCCGGACGGUCCGGCCACUGUAAGUGGGGAGCGGUUCCUCCAUAUGCCACUGGGUUUUGUGCCUGGGAAGGCUGGGAAUACGCUUUGAGCCAUAAGUCAGGAGACCUGCCAGGUUAAUUUGAAUGCU
rnacentral:ncRNA from 2 species